rnacentral:rRNA from 1 species
GAUGAACGCUGGCGGCGUGCCUAAUACAUGCAAGUCGAGCGAACAGACGAGGAGCUUGCUCCUUUGACGUUAGCGGCGGACGGGUGAGUAACACGUAGGUAACCUACCUAUAAGACUGGGAUAACUUCGGGAAACCGGAGCUAAUACCGGAUAAUAUUUCGAACCGCAUGGUUCGAUAGUGAAAGAUGGCUUUGCUAUCACUUAUAGAUGGACCUGCGCCGUAUUAGCUAGUUGGUAAGGUAACGGCUUACCAAGGCAACGAUACGUAGCCGACCUGAGAGGGUGAUCGGCCACACUGGAGCUGAGACACGGUCCAGACUCCUACGGGAGGCAGCAGUAGGGAAUCUUCCGCAGUGGGCGAGAGCCUGACGGAGCAACGCCGCGUGAGUGAUGAAGGUCUUGGGAUCGUAAAACUCUGUUAUUAGGGAAGAACAAACGUGUAAGUAACUGUGCACGUCUUGACGGUACCUAAUCAGAAAGCCACGGCUAACUACGUG